CCAAAGCUCCGAUUUUCUGACGAGCGCAUCUAUUAGAUUAAAACCAAUCGGGUUUCGGCCCGUCAAUUGGUGACUCUGAAUAACUAUAGCUGAUCGCAUGGUCUCGAACCGGCGACGUGUCUAUCAAGUGUCUGCCUUAUCAACUGUCGAUGGUAGUUUAUGUGCCUACCAUGGUUGUAACGGGUAACGGAGAAUAAGGGUUCGACUCCGGAGAGGGAGCCUGAGAAACGGCUACCACAUCCAAGGAAGGCAGCAGGCGCGCAAAUUACCCACUCUCGGCAUGAGGAGGUAGUGACGAAAAAUAACGAGACCGUUCUCUAUGAGGCCGGUUAUCGGAAUGGGUACAAUUUAAACCCGUUAACGAGGAUCUAUGAGAGGGCAAGUCUGGUGCCAGCAGCCGCGGUAAUUCCAGCUCUCAAAGUGUAUAUCGUCAUUGCUGCGGUUAAAAAGCUCGUAGUUGGAUCUGCGCCUCAGGACCUGGUCCGCCCACUGGGCGAGAACUGGGCUCCUGGGCUAGUUCUGCUGGUUUUCCCUACGUUGCCUUCAUCGGUCGCGUAGGGUGGCUAGCGAGUUUACUUUGAAAAAAUUAGAGUGCUUCACGCGGGCUUAUGUCUGAAUACUCGUGCAUGGAAUAAUAGAAUAGGAUCUCGGUUCUAUUUUGUUGGUUUUCUGAUCUGAGAUAAUGGUUAAGAGGGACGGACGGGGGCAUUCGUAUCGCUGCGUGAGAGGUGAAAUUCUUGGACCGUAGCGAGACGUCCGACUGCGAAAGCAUUUGCCAAGAAUGUCUUCAUUAAUCAAGAACGAAAGUCAGAGGUUCGAAGGCGAUCAGAUACCGCCCUAGUUCUGACCGUAAACGAUACCAACUAGCGUUCCGUCGGCGGUAAAUACGCCUUGACGGGCAGCUUCCCGGAAACGAAAGUCUUUCGGUUCCGGG
rnacentral:rRNA from 1 species